CCACACUUAAGAUGUACAUUAUCCUCAAUGUACAAACAUAUAUAAGUAUCGAAUAAGCACAAUAUCAAAAGAGACGAAGAGAACUGAAACUGCCAUGAGUUUGGAUGAAAUCUCCAGAAUAGGGAAAAUCAAAAUCGUGGGCAAAUCUAAAUGAAGUGCAUGUUUCGGAGAAAACUAAUAAGAAUAUAAACACAAAUAAAUGAGAAGAUAAAAAGAUUAAAAACUUGAAAUAAAAAACUAUCAAAAUAAUAAAAAUAACAACAUAAUUCAAAAUAAAAAUAAAAGUACAAAAGAAAAUAAAAAUAACUAAAGUAAAG
rnacentral:lncRNA from 1 species